AUGGGAAAGCAACGAAGAAAAGUCACUCCCAGCACACGCUUGCUAAUAUCUGGCGUCGUCACCAAACCACCCGCCUACAUACGUGCGCGGGCCUGCGGCGACGAAGGGCCGUUCGACACGCGAGCAGGCGCGCUGUUGCCCGACAGCGACGCCUUGUCGAUCGCUCGCCCGGGCCACAGUCUCCACCACCCCCGGGAUCGAACCGACGACGCCGAUCGCCCCCGCCCGCCACGAAAGAUCCCAUCCCUUACAUGCGCGGCGCCCAGUCGUCCGGUCGGAUCGGACGCAUAUCUCCCCAGCCGACUUCGCCCGCCCGGAUCGCUUUUCGUCCGCUACUUAGCUUACCACAGUACUACUACUACUACGUGCUGCUUCCUAGCUAAUCGGAGAGCAGCGCGUGUGUGCUGGUGCGGGCCGGUCACGCACGCACGUACCCACCGAGAGAGAGAGAGAGGAGAAGCCAGCCGCGACGUUAAAAAGAUCGCCCGGGAGGAACGUUUCCCGCGGGACACCAUGAAGCUGCCGCGGUGGGACGUGGGCGCCGCCGCCGGGGCCGAGAGCGCGCACGCCGACGCGCAGCAGCUCACGCCGCCCGCCACGCCCGGCGCGGACGAUCGGGCGGCGACCGGCUCCCGCAGGCGGCCGGCCGGGGGCGGCGGCGAGGGUGACGGGGGCGCGUUCGUGUGCCGGACGUGCAGCCGGCGGUUCCCGACGUUCCAGGCGCUGGGCGGGCACCGGACGGGCCACACCCGGCUGCAGGCGCGCCAGCAGCGGCCGGUUACUCGCAAGCCUCGGCCGCACCACGAGUGCGCCGUCUGCGGGCUCGAGUUCUCCAUGGGCCAGGCGCUCGGCGGCCACAUGCGCCGCCACAAGCAGGUUGAGCCACAGGCGCACGUGGAGGAGGCGCUGGGCGCAGUGCACAUGCGCCGGCACAAGGAGGCCGGCACGCAGGUGCCUGUGGAGGAGGAGGUGGCGCUGGGCGGGCACAAGCAGGCCGGCGCACAGCCGCCUCAGGCGCGUGCGGAGGAGGAGGAGGCGCCAGGCGGGCACAUGCGCUGGCACGAGCAGGCCGAGGCACAGGCGCCGCGCGUGCAGGAUGAGCACCACCAGCAGGAGGAGGAGGCGCUGGACUUGAACUGCCCGCCGCCGCUGGAGGAUCAUCGUGGCGGCGACGACCGAGGAGACUGUUCCGCCGGAUCGUCCGACCCUCCUCUGCUCAACCUCCUCGUGUAG
rnacentral:rRNA from 1 species